rnacentral:rRNA from 1 species
GAUGAACGCUAGCGGCAGGCUUAACACAUGCAAGUCGAGGGGUAGAGGAAGCUUGCUUCCUUGAGACCGGCGCACGGGUGCGUAACGCGUAUGCAAUCUACCUUAUACAGGGGGAUAGCCCAGAGAAAAUUUGGAUUAAUACCCCAUAGUAUAAUUGAAUGGCAUCAUUUAAUAUUAAAAGUUCCAACGGUAUAAGAUGAGCAUGCGUCCCAUUAGCUAGUUGGUGUGGUAACGGCACACCAAGGCGACGAUGGGUAGGGGUCCUGAGAGGGAGAUCCCCCACACUGGUACUGAGACACGGACCAGACUCCU